AGCGCGGGUGCGAGUCGGAAGGUGUAAAAACCUGUGGGCGAAGUGAAAGCGGAUUAAAACUCUCAGUUUGAGGCGGCAUAUCAUCGUUGAUGGUAAGUCCGACCUUGAGCAGUUGCGCUGGGACCCGAAAGAUGGUGAACUAUGCCGGAGUAGGGCAAAGCCAGAGGAAACUCUGGUGGAGGCUCGUAGCGGUGCUGACGUGCAAAUCGCUCGUCGAACUUGGGUAUAGGGGCGAAAGACUAAUCGAACCAUCUAGUAGCUGGUUUCCUCCGAAGUUUCUCUCAGGAUAGCGGGCCGACAUAUAGUUGUUUUGUGCGGUAAAGCGAAUGAUUAGCGUAUUUGGGGGCAAUUAGCCUUCAGACGAUUCUCAAACUUUCAAUGCGCAAGGGUGUUGCUGCUUAAUUGAGCUUCACCGGUAAAAACGUCGGCCCUGUGGGCCACUUUUGGUAAGCAGAACUGGCGAUACGGGAUGAACCGUAAGCACGGUUAAGGCGCCAGACUACUCGCUUAUAGAUCCCACAAAAGGUGUUGAUUCAUCGAGACAGCAGGACGGUGGCCAUGGAAGUCGGAAUCCGCCAAGGAGUGUGUAACAACUCACCUGCCGAAUGAAUUAGCCCUGAAAAUGGAUGGCGCUUAAGCGGGUGGCCGACACCGUGCCGUCUGGAUGAUAUAUUUCAGAUGAGUAGGAGGACGUGGUGAUUGUGACGAAGUAUGUGUGCGAACACGUAUCGAACAAUCACUAGUGCAGAUCUUGGUGGUAGUAGCAAAUAUUCAAGCGAGAUCCUUGAAGGGCGAAGCGGGGAAGGGUUCCACGCUAACAUUGAUUGGGCGUGGGUGAGUCGUUCCUAAGCCGAGUGGCAAUUGCUAAGUAACGGCGAAAGGGAAGCAGGUUUACAUUCCUGCACACGGAUGUGGAGGCGGUGACGCUUUAUUGAGACGAACACGCUGGCGAUGGCGCUGGGCAGAGUUGUCUUUUCUGUUUGACCGUUUGCGUAUAUGGUGUGGAGUCCGCUUGUCGGGAGAAACACAUAUACGCGGGCAGAGCGCCGGGGCUUUUCCGGCGUCCAGCUCGCCAUCGACGGCCCUUGAAACUUUGUCUGCUGAUUUAAAAUCCACGCCGUGGCGUACCGAUCACCGCAUCAGGUCCCCGAGGUGAACAGCCUCUGCUCAAUAUGAAAAAUGCAGGUAAGGGAAGUCGGCAAAUUAGACCCGUAACUUUGGGAAAAGGGUUGGCUCUAGUGCUGCGUGGGAGUGGUUGUCAUGUUGUGACGUUAUUAACGGUGCUGAACUUGCGUGAUACUUCGGUGUUAUUCGAUUCGGCUGCUGUUGUUAAUGUCGCUCUUGACGACGCCCACAGCAUGCAGCAAACUAGAACUGCAACGGGCAAAGGGAAUCCGACUGUUUAAUUAAAACAAAGCAUUGCGAGGGCCGUGGCCGGUGAUGACGCAAUGUGAUUUCUGCUCAGUGCUCUGAAUGUCAAAGUGAAGAGAUUCAAUCAAGCGCGGGUAAACAGCGGGAGUAACUAUGACUCUCUUAAGGUAGCCAAAUGCCUCGUCAUCUAAUUAGUGACGCGCAUGAAUGGAUUAACGAGAUUCCUACUGUCCCUAUCUGCUUCUAGCGAAACCACAGCCGAGGGAACGGGCUCGGCGAAAUCGGCGGGGAAAGAAGACCCUGUUGAGCUUGACUCUAUUCUAAUUUUGUGAAGCAAGUUGGGAGGUGUAGCAUAGGUGGGAGCGCUUGCGCGUCCGUGAAAUACCACUACUCAGUUACUUACGUGUGGAGUCUUACGACUUCAUUUUAAGGCUGGUGACCACAGCCUAGCACACAUUUAGGAGGGGAGUUUGGCUGGGGCGGCACAUCUUCUACAAGACAACGAAGGUGUCCAAAGAUAAGCUCAGUGAGAACAGAAAUCUCACGUAGCGCAAAAGGGUAAAAGCUUGUUUUAUUUUGAUUUUCAGUGCGAGUCGAAA
rnacentral:rRNA from 1 species